rnacentral:rRNA from 1 species
AUUGAACGCUGGCGGCAGGCCUAACACAUGCAAGUCGAGCGGAUGAGGGGUGCUUGCACCCCGAUUCAGCGGCGGACGGGUGAGUAAUGCCUAGGAAUCUGCCCGAUAGAGGGGGACAACGUUUCGAAAGGAACGCUAAUACCGCAUACGUCCUACGGGAGAAAGCAGGGGACCUUCGGGCCUUGCGCUAUCAGAUGAGCCUAGGUCGGAUUAGCUAGUUGGUGAGGUAAUGGCUCACCAAGGCGACGAUCCGUAACUGGUCUGAGAGGAUGAUCAGUCACACUGGAACUGAGACACGGUCCAGACUCCUACGGGAGGCAGCAGUGGGGAAUAUUGGACAAUGGGCGAAAGCCUGAUCCAGCCAUGCCGCGUGUGUGAAGAAGGUCUUCGGAUUGUAAAGCACUUUAAGUUGGGAGGAAGGGCAGUAAGUUAAUACCUUGCUGUUUUGACGUUACCGACAGAAUAAGCACCGGCUAACUCUGUGCCAGCCGCCGCGGUAAAAC